rnacentral:misc_RNA from 1 species
AAGUCGUAACAAGGUUUCCGUAGGUGAACCUGCGGAAGGAUCAUUAACACUUUCAUUUUAUUGAAAAUUCAUUUUUUCAAUAAUUUACUUUACCCACAUUUUUGGAUGAAUUAUUUCUUUUUUAUUUUUUAUCAUUUUUAUACCCCAAUCAAAACUAAUAUACUAUUAUUUCUAACAUUUACACAAAAAGUUUAAGAAAAAACAUAAAAAACAACUCUUAACAACGGAUAUCUAGGCUCUC